UACAGGGGGGGCAAGCGUUGUUCGGAAUUACUGGGCGUAAAGGGCUCGUAGGCGGCCAACUAAGUCCGACGUGAAAUCCCAAAGCUUAACUUUGGAACUGCGUCGGAUACUGGAUGGCUUGAAUUCGGGAGAGGGAUGCAGAAUUCCAGGUGUGGCGGUGAAAUGCGUAGAUAUCUGGAGGAAUACCGGUGGCGAAGGCGGCAUCCUGGACCGACAUUGACGCUGAUGAGCGAAAGCUAGGGGAGCAAACGGG
rnacentral:rRNA from 1 species